UUUACAACAAUAUAUGAAAUCUAAAACCCAGAACAAUGAAUGAAAAACAAAAGAAAAAUAUCAACUUUGCCCCACAAAAAGAAAAAAGAAGAUGAUGUUUGAAAUCAAUUCAUGUUACAAAAAAUUGUCAUGUGGAUGAACAUGAAGCGUGAGUGGCUUCGCCAGGAGAGAGAGUUGAUCGACGGAGGAGUGAGUUGGAACAGAGAG
rnacentral:lncRNA from 1 species